UUGGUGGGGUGAUGGCCUACCAAGGCGACGACGGGUAGCCGGCCUGAGAGGGCGACCGGCCACACUGGGACUGAGACACGGCCCAGACUCCUACGGGAGGCAGCAGUGGGGAAUCUUGCGCAAUGGGCGAAAGCCUGACGCAGCGACGCCGCGUGAGGGAUGACGGCCUUCGGGUUGUAAACCUCUUUCAGCCCUGACGAAGCGAAAGUGACGGUAGGGGCAGAAGAAGCACCGGCCAACUACGUGCCAGCAGCCGCGGUAAUACGUAGGGUGCAAGCGUUGUCCGGAAUUAUUGGGCGUAAAGAGCUCGUAGGUGGCCUGUCGCGUCGGCUGUGAAAACUCGGGGCUCAACUCCGAGCUUGCAGUCGAUACGGGCAGGCUAGAGUGCGGCAGGGGAGACUGGAAUUCCUGGUGUAGCGGUGAAAUGCGCAGAUAUCAGGAGGAACACCGGUGGCGAAGGCGGGUCUCUGGGCCGAUACUGACACUGAGGAGCGAAAGCGUGGGGAGCGAACAGGAUUAGAUACCCUGGUAGUCCACGCCGUAAACGUUGGGCGCUAGGUGUGGGAUCC
rnacentral:rRNA from 1 species